rnacentral:rRNA from 1 species
AACUAGACGCGCUCACCUUGGUGGGUGUCGUCUUCUUAGAGGGACUAUCUAUGUUUAAUAGAUGGAAGUUUGAGGCAAUAACAGGUCUGUGAUGCCCUUAGAUGUUCUGGGCCGCACGCGCGCUACACUGAUAAAGCCAGCGAGUCUUUACCUUGACCGGAAGGUCUGGGCAAUCUUGUGAAACUUUAUCGUGAUGGGGAUUGACCAUUGCAAUUAUUGGUCAUGAACGAGGAAUUCCUAGUAAGUGCGAGUCAUCAGCUCGCGUUGAUUACGUCCCUGCCCUUUGUACACACCGCCCGUCGAU